rnacentral:sRNA from 1 species
UGGAUUAACAGGGGGACCCUCAGCGAGACGCAGGGACUGGCCCGCACCUCUGGCAGCCGCCUCCCGCCUUUCCUCGCCGAGAACCGAGUUCUAGUGGGGGAAACGUCUGACAUCUGGACAUCAAGGUAAGACCCUGAUGGAGAUGUUUUAGUUGGAGCAGUUUUCUGCCCUCGGAGUGCGCCCGGACGGCCGGGAGUUUCAGGGACGUCUUGGGAGCCUACCGGAGGAAGGCCCGGCUUUGCUCCAAGCCGCGUCCCUACCUGAGGUCUCCGCGGGAGGAGCGGUUUGGACGCGCCCCACCGGGUGGGAGGAGGUGCUUGGGGAAGCCGGGCCCUACCGCUGGGCUGACGCGCGGCUUUUCUCUGCCAGUGCAACCACCAUUACGGCGUGAUCCACUCCUUUUCCUCUAAGAAUGCUGAACGGUACCACUCUAGAGGCAGGUGAGUUAUGUGCCAGGUUCCUUCUGAUGUUCUCUGCCCCUUGGGCCAGUGCGUAUACCAUGUGAGUGUGUGUGCGUGUGUGUGCGCCUUCGUUGGGUGGAACGAAGAGGAGUGUGUGUUUGUCUUAAAAAUUAAACCGCGCUUCGUAGGCUCAAAAAUACACAUUCUCUUUCAGAGUCUCCUGAUAGGACUCCUGAAACCCUCCUUUUGCCUUUCUCUUUGACUGUCUUUGACUUUCCUCAGGAUCAGGGUCCGGGGCGCCAGGCAGCGGUCCUGGUUCCACUGAUCCUCCAGUAGUCAGUGGCUCAAGGGACGCGCUCCUGACCCUCCGGGGAGCUGCUGGGGGUGUCUCUUUCUUGGAAGGGAUGGAAGGCGGGCCGAGAAGACACCAUUUCUCACACGUGUAGGGGUUAACUGGAAACUGGCUUCACCCACAUUUUUUUGUUGUUGUUCAGUCCUAACCUAGCGCAGCCGUUUCUGCGCCUGAUCUCAGCGGACGCAGUGCGGGACUUCUCCCUUUAUUUCUGCAGAGCUGAGGGCAGGCGGCGCAACAAAUCUCAGGUAAAAGAGCAUCAGAUUUCAGAAGCGCUGUAUUCUAGACUUGGCGCAGGCCCCUUUGGG